rnacentral:tRNA from 1 species
GGGGAAUUAGCUCAGCUGGGAGAGCACCUGCUUUGCAAGCAGGGGGUCAUCGGUUCGAACCCGAUAUUCUCCAUAACAACCAUCUGGUUGUUAAUUAGUUCUUUGAAAACUGAAUCAUAAUUGUAAAUUUUUAAAUUCAUUAUAAUUGAUCAUAUCAAUUAAAUUGAGCCGAA